UGAACGCUAGCGGCAGGCCUAAUACAUGCAAGUCGGACGGGAUUCAGGGAGUAGCUUGCUACGAACUGAUGAGAGUGGCGCACGGGUGCGUAACGCGUGAGCAACCUACCCAUAUCAGGGGGAUAGCCUCUCGAAAGAGAGAUUAACACCGCAUAACAUCAUUUACCGGCAUCGGUUUAUGAUCAAAUAUUUAUAGGAUAUGGAUGGGCUCGCGUGACAUUAGCUAGUUGGAGAGGUAACGGCUCACCAAGGCUACGAUGUCUAGGGGCUCUGAGAGGAGAAUCCCCCACACUGGUACUGAGACACGGACCAGACUCCUACGGGAGGCAGCAGUAAGGAAUAUUGGUCAAUGGAGGCAACUCUGAACCAGCCAUGCCGCGUGCAGGAUGACUGCCCUAUGGGUUGUAAACUGCUUUUGUCAGGGAAUAAACCUUUCUACGUGUAGGAAGCUGAAUGUACCUGAAGAAU
rnacentral:rRNA from 1 species